CUCUACGGAAGGCAGCAGUAGGGAAUCUUGCACAAUGGGCGAAAGCCUGAUGCAGCAACGCCGCGUGAAGGAUGAAGGCCUUCGGGUUGUAAACUUCUGUUCUUAGGGAAGAAGAAAGUGACGGUACCUAAGGAGAAAGCCCCGGCUAACUACGUGCCAGCAGCCGCGGUAAUACGUAGGGGGCAAGCGUUAUCCGGAAUUAUUGGGCGUAAAGAGUGCGUAGGUGGUUAUCUAAGCGUAAGGUUUAAGCGUGCAGCUCAACUGCAUCUCGCCUUGCGAACUGGACUACUUGAGUGCAGGAGGGGAAAGCGGAAUUCCUAGUGUAGCGGUGAAAUGCGUAGAUAUUAGGAGGAACACCAGCGGCGAAGGCGGCUUUCUGGACUGUAACUGACACUGAGGCACGAAAGCGUGGGGAGCAAACAGGAUUAGAUACCCUGGUAGUCC
rnacentral:rRNA from 1 species